rnacentral:rRNA from 1 species
UACGAAGGGUGCAAACGUUGCUCGUAAUUACUGGGCGUAAGGCGUGCGCAGGCGGUUGUGCAAGACAGAUGUGAAAUCCCCGGGCUCAACCUGGGAAUUGCAUUUGUGACUGUACGGCUAGAGUGUGUCAGAGGGGGGUAGAAUUCCACGUGUAGCAGUGAAAUGCGUAGAGAUGUGGAGGAAUACCGAUGGCGAAGGCAGCCCCCUGGGAUAACACUGACGCUCAUGCACGAAAGCGUGGGGAGCAAACAGG